CCACCACCAAAGCAUUCUCUGGUGUUGAAGGCCCUGCAAAGCAGCAUCGCGGUGGCGGAGCGUCGUUUGCGACGCCCAACACACAAAACAAGCGGUGAGUGCUUUGGGGUGGGGUGACUGCGUACCUUUUGUAUAAUGGGUCAGCGACUUAUAUUCUGUAGCAAGGUUAACCGUAUAGGGGAGCCGAAGGGAAACCGAGUCUUAACUGGGCGUUAAGUUGCAGGGUAUAGACCCGAAACCCGGUGAUCUAGCCAUGGGCAGGUUGAAGGUUGGGUAACACUAACUGGAGGACCGAACCGACUAAUGUUGAAAAAUUAGCGGAUGACUUGUGGCUGGGGGUGAAAGGCCAAUCAAACCGGGAGAUAGCUGGUUCUCCCCGAAAGCUAUUUAGGUAGCGCCUCGUGAACUCAUCUUCGGGGGUAGAGCACUGUUUCGGCUAGGGGGUCAUCCCGACUUACCAACCCGAUGCAAACUGCGAAUACCGAAGAAUGUUAUCACGGGAGACACACGGCGGGUGCUAACGUCCGUCGUGAAGAGGGAAACAACCCAGACCGCCAGCUAAGGUCCCAAAGUCACAGUUAAGUGGGAAACGAUGUGGGAAGGCUCAGACAGCCAGGAUGUUGGCUUAGAAGCAGCCAUCAUUUAAAGAAAGCGUAAUAGCUCACUGGUCGAGUCGGCCUGCGCGGAAGAUGUAACGGGGCUAAACUGUGCACCGAAGCUGCGGCAGCGACGCUUAUGCGUUGUUGGGUAGGGGAGCGUUCUGUAAGCCUGCGAAGGUGUCCUGUGAGGGAUGCUGGAGGUAUCAGAAGUGCGAAUGCUGACAUAAGUAACGAUAAUGCGGGUGAAAAGCCCGCUCGCCGGAAGACCAAGGGUUCCUGUCCAACGUUAAUCGGGGCAGGGUGAGUCGACCCCUAAGGCGAGGCCGAAAGGCGUAGUCGAUGGGAAACGGGUUAAUAUUCCCGUACUUGGUGUUACUGCGAAGGGGGGACGGAGAAGGCUAUGUUGGCCGGGCGACGGUUGUCCCGGUUUAAGCGUGUAGGCUGGUUUUCCAGGCAAAUCCGGAAAAUCAAGGCUGAGGCGUGAUGACGAGGCACUACGGUGCUGAAGCAACAAAUGCCCUGCUUCCAGGAAAAGCCUCUAAGCAUCAGGUAACAUCAAAUCGUACCCCAAACCGACACAGGUGGUCAGGUAGAGAAUACCAAGGCGCUUGAGAGAACUCGGGUGAAGGAACUAGGCAAAAUGGUGCCGUAACUUCGGGAGAAGGCACGCUGACACGUAGGUGAAGUGAUUUACUCA
rnacentral:rRNA from 1 species